rnacentral:rRNA from 1 species
CGACAGUGGACUAGCUAACUGAAAUCAAUUAAAAAUUGAUAACAUAAGGGAAAAUAAUGAUAUUACCUUAUUAUUAGUGUCGUCCAAAACUGGUGCCAGAAGACUCGGUAAGGCCAGAGACACAAACGUUAAUCGUCUUAAUCAGGCGUAAAGGGUUUGUAGGCGGCUUUAAAAUUUAUUUAAAAUAAUAUUAAGUAAAGAAUAAAAGCUAGAAUCAAAUAGAGGAUAUAUGAAAGAAUGCUUAGAGUAGGUCUGAUAUCCUUAGAUACUAAGUAGAAUAUUAAAGGCGAAAGCUUUUUUCCAUUAAUGAUUGACGCUCAGAAACGAAGGUGAGGAUAGGAAAUAGGAUUAGAUACCCAGAAUACCCCUCUCUGUCAACGAUGAAUGGUAGUUAUUAAUAAGAAUUAUUAAUGGCAAUGUUAACACGAUAACCAUUCCGCCUUGUGAGUACAACUGCAAAGUUGAAAACAAAAAAAUUAGUCGGUUUCGGAGCAAACGAAGUGAAGCAUGUUAUUUAAUUAAAUAAAAUCCCCGCGA